UUUGCUGACGAGUGGCGCACGGGUGCGUAACGCGUAUACAAUCUACCUUUUGCUGAGGGAUAGCCCAGAGAAAUUUGGAUUAACACCUCAUGGUAUUAUUGAUAGGCAUCUAUUAAUAAUUAAAGGUUACGGCAAAAGAUGAGUAUGCGUCCCAUUAGCUAGUUGGCGAGGUAACGGCUCACCAAGGCAACGAUGGGUAGGGGUCCUGAGAGGGAGAUCCCCCACACUGGUACUGAGACACGGACCAGACUCCUACGGGAGGCAGCAGUGAGGAAUAUUGGACAAUGGGCGAGAGCCUGAUCCAGCCAUGCCGCGUGCAGGAAGACUGCCCUAUGGGUUGUAAACUGCUUUUAUACAGGAAGAAUAAGCCUUACGUGUAAGGUGAUGACGGUACUGUAAGAAUAAGGACCGGCUAACUCCGUGCCAGCAGCCGCGGUAAUACGGAGGGUCCGAGCGUUAUCCGGAAUUAUUGGGUUUAAAGGGUCCGUAGGCGGAUG
rnacentral:rRNA from 1 species